AGUGAACGCUGGCGGUAGGCCUAACACAUGCAAGUCGAACGGCAGCACAGUAAGAGCUUGCACUUACGGGUGGCGAGUGGCGGACGGGUGAGGAAUACAUCGGAAUCUACUUUUUCGUGGGGGAUAACGUAGGGAAACUUACGCUAAUACCGCAUACGACCUACGGGUGAAAGCAGGGGAUCUUCGGACCUUGCGCGAUUGAAUGAGCCGAUGUCGGAUUAGCUAGUUGGCGGGGUAAAGGCCCACCAAGGCGACGAUCCGUAGCUGGUCUGAGAGGAUGAUCAGCCACACUGGAACUGAGACACGGUCCAGACUCCUACGGGAGGCAGCAGUGGGGAAUAUUGGACAAUGGGCGCAAGCCUGAUCCAGCCAUACCGCGUGGGUGAAGAAGGCCUUCGGGUUGUAAAGCCCUUUUGUUGGGAAAGAAAAGCAGCAGGUUAAUACCCCGCUGUUCUGACGGUACCCAAAGAAUAAGCACCGGCUAACUUCGUG
rnacentral:rRNA from 1 species